GCCGGGUUAGCUCAGUUGGUCAGAGCAGUGGAAUCAUAAUCCACGUGUCCUCGGUUCGAGUCCGAGACCCGGUACCA
rnacentral:tRNA from 1 species